GAAGCAGGUAGCAAUUGCAGUGUUCCCUCACAUGGAAUCACUGCCAUAUCCCUGCUGAGAGCAAUUCUGUUAUAUGGGAUUUGAUUUCUCCUCCAUCCUGGUGAAAAUUAGCCUCCUUUUAACAGUGACAA
ensembl:snoRNA